UACGAAGGGGGCUAGCGUUGUCGUGAAUCACUGGGCGUAAAGGGUGCGUAGGCGGGUCUUUUAAGUCAGGGGUGAAAUCCUGGAGCUCAACUCCAGAACUGCCUUUGAUACUGAAGAUCUUGAGUUCGGGAGAGGUGAGUGGAACUGCGAGUGUAGAGGUGAAAUUCGUAGAUAUUCGCAAGAACACCAGUGGCGAAGGCGGCUCACUGGCCCGAUACUGACGCUGAGGCACGAAAGCGUGGGGAGCAAACAGG
rnacentral:rRNA from 1 species